UGGUAGCUACAGUAAACAUGCAUCUGAUUUGUCUAUUCCAACCUUCUACUUAGAUUCCUUUGUCUUUGGUGGCCUUUCUCCCAUGGUUUUUGGUUUCUUUCAUGGAAAGGGUUUACGUAAUGUUUUUGGUUUGGCAAAAAUGGUCAUGCAGUUUUACUAUGUUGACAAAUGUGUUCAAGCUGAGUGGUAAAUGCCUGGGUGCGUGAGUCAUCGACUCCAUUGAUACGUGUCAUUCUGUUGAUCUCCUUUCCACCGCUUCUUUCCACCCACCAUCUCUUUCUUCUUCUUCUUCUUCUCUCUCUGAUUAUGUUUUAAAGCUUUAGUCCCUGACCAUCAAUGUUUUAGUCGGUUGAUCCUUUGCCGCCUCUCCCACACAAUCAGAUGUUGCACCGCCAUGGACAUCAGUUGUUAUCUUCUCCACUGUUUUGUUCUCCAAUAACAUGCCUACACAAGUACCUUCCCCAUUAAUUCUUUUUACAUCACCACUUUAAUUCUUACGACCUUCCCCAUUCUUCCUUCCAGCGCUCCAUCUCUUUCUUCCUUCCAUAGAAAAUCCCAGCCUCAAUCCAUUUCUAUCCAAUCUCUCGGAGGAGAUCUGUAAUCCUUUUCCAGAUUCUUCUCCGUUCUUCCCACUACUUAUCUUAGUUUUCUACAACAGUAGCUUCAUCUUCUACAGACUCCACCUCUCCAUCCUUUUCUGUAACUGUAUUACCGACGAUGUUCACGGGUUUGAAGAGAUCAGAAGUUGGGGGUACGGUAGGGCAAUGGACGUAUGGAAGCGAUAGGCGAAGUAGGGGUUAUCCACUACCAACCGAUCGACCGACGGUGAGCCCUUUUUCUCCUUCUCUAAUUUCCUUCGAGUGUCCCUUCACUGUGUUGGAGCAGAUUUGUGUCCGUUGGCUGAGUUGGAGCUGAUUUUCUUACAUUAUGCUUACACAAGAACCAAGAGACACUCCCACGUUUGAUACUUUCUGAUCACAGUUCAACUUCAAAGUUCAUUAAUUUCUGUUUAAAAGUUCACUAACACUACAAAAAUUCAACUUCUUCAAGUUCAUUAAUUGCUGAUCUGUUACAUUUGGGAGCUGGGCUAGGACCCCCUGUUUCUAAACUAUCAGAUAUCAUCAUACGCGUACUAAAGACAUCCUUUCAUGUUCACUCUGAGUUCAUUGAAAUACAAUAAACUAUCACGACAAUAACGCCUAUGAUUGAAAACCUUGAGAAUCAAACUAAGGUAUCAGAUCAGCUGAAACAUGAAAACGGUAUGUUCAUUACUCAAAUAGUGGGCGCAGAAGCCCUUUUUCUGAAAUGCAAUCAUGUCAAAUGGUUCAAAAUAUACACUCACACGGUUAAAUUGGAUAAGCUAAAUGUAUCGAUGCUAAAAUUUUUCCAGAUUGUUGUUCCGUUGGUGAUUCUUAAUCGAAUAGGAGAUCUGCAAGAAAGUAUAAUGAAAGUGGAUUCAAGUCGUUCGUCUUAUGGGGUUCCAUUGCUGAAUGAUUCCGUGAUAGGAUUAAAAGAUCAAGUUAGAAAGCUGAAUGUCCAGCUGUUAGAUGACAGAGGAGUUGCCAUCUUCAUCUCAGCUGUUAGAUGAUAGCCCGGAUCGCCAUCUGUCAUCAUCUAUUGAGGAAGGGAAGCCCCAUCAGGUUUUCUAUGUUUUUUUUGUUUUAUAUGUUAUGGUCAUAUCAAGCUUAUAUUUUUAUUGCAUAAAGCUAUUGAAAGAAGUUGAAGUGCUGAAGGGAUCUCAUUUGAAGCAGAUCAUAGAGACCAAUCUGCUAGAACAAGAACUGUUAUUUUUUAGGCUGUAUUGUAUUACUAUUGGUUGAGAAGUGGAACUUGAAGCAAGGCUCUCACAGGUGAGUAAUGGUGAGUUAGAGAACAAUACCAUAAAAAAACAGUUGAGGCAAGGUAACUCAUCAGAUCCGCGUUCUUCUAAAUUCUUAUAUAUGUUUUUGCUUUUAUAGUAAUUUACAAUAAAUGAUCCUGGAAUAUUGUUCUUCUUUGCAAAUUGGCAUCUUAUUUUGAUAUAGCUUAGAUGGAGUUGGUAAGUGCACAAUUCAUUUUAUUAUAUAUCAAUAUUUGGUAAUUUCUGGUAUUUUUCUUAUAUAAAUAUGAUUUUAAUAGUUUUUUCAACUUCUUGAUGGAAACAAACCAAAUCGUGGUUCCAAUUUCAAUGUAAGGUUAUGUUUCUUUCUUUAUCUAUAAUUAAGUAGAUAAAAUGUAUUGUUUUGUUUCUAAUUGAUGUUCAUUAUAGCUAUUCAUUAACAUAUUUUACACAUUCAUAAACCAUAUUUGUUACAACUGUAUGUUCAUGUUCUUAAUUCUUUACAUAUCCCUGCUUUCAAACUAAAAGCUUUAUGUGCAAACUUCUAAUUUAUGAUUUUAUAUAUGAGUAGGUGAUGGCCCUCCAAAACUCUAAAAUUCAGAUUUCCCUUAUUAUAUGAAUGUCGAUCUCGGUCCGUUUAUGAAAAAUUACUUUUGGGUCAUUAUUUUAUCUCAUUCACCUUCUUUAAUUUUUGUUGUAAGAAGACUUCUUGGGAUUGUUCAUUUUUCGCUUAGAUCAUCGGCUUCUUAUACUUUGAGAAUAAGAACCUGUUUCCUGACCUUCAUUUUGUAACAUAUUUUAGGAUAAAGAAUGGUCAUCAGGCAUUUUGCUUUAGUUUUUAAAUUAAAGUAAAAAAGGUAUUUUGAGCUUAUUUUACAACUUUGAUUUGUCCUACAUACUCCCAUCUAGAAAGUUACUGGUGAAAGAUUGGAAAAUAUGAUCACCGAUUUGGACAAACAUAUGUUCUUAACAGAUUUGCGCAUGGGAGACGUUUGAUGAAAUGUCGUAUAUGAUUUCUAUAUUAUUUGUGGUAUAUCUAAAAAAUUCUAUCAGAAUAUGUUUGGUUUGGUGUCCCGGUACCCAAAAACUCCCAUUUUUAGCAACAUAAAAAUCACUUGCUUCCUAUUGUUGUGGUGAAUAGGAUUUAUUUUUAAAAAUAAAAAAUUAAAAAUAGUGUGAUGAUUAGUAAUGAUAAUGAUAAUUUCUAAAAAAUGUAUAAGUGAGGGAAAAAUGGUCAUUUGCUUAAAAUUUGCAGAUGAGCUUUCAACUGUUAUGCAUCAACUUCUGCCACAUAUGAUAGAUAAGGACAAUAUCGGAAAUUCAACAAAUAAAAGGGCUUUAGGGUAAUUUUGGAAAUACCAAUGUUGUUCCUGUUUUGUCCUUUCCUUUGGUGUAUUAUUAACCAUGUACAAGUAAGUAUAUGUAUACAUUUUAUGUUGAGACUUCAGAUUGUUACUUUCGUUAUGUUUUUGCAUCAAUUUCGUGAA